UACGUAGGGGGCAAGCGUUGUCCGGAAUUAUUGGGCGUAAAGAGCGCGUAGGCGGUCCGGUAAGUCGGUUGUGAAAGUCGGGGGCUCAACCCUCGGAUGCCGAUCGAUACUGUCGGGCUAGAGUCCGGAAGAGGCGAGUGGAAUUCCCAGUGUAGCGGUGAAAUGCGUAGAUAUUGGGAGGAACACCGGUGGCGAAGGCGGCUACCUGGACCGGUUCUGACGCUGAUGCGCGAAAGCGUGGGGAGCAAACAGG
rnacentral:rRNA from 1 species